GAUUUUGAAUGAUGAGAUCAUAUAUUUACACAGUUAUCCCUGUCUGAUAACAUAUUGAUGAAAAUUUGUGAUCUGACAAUAUA